UACGUAGGGUGCAGGCGUUAAUCGGAAUUACUGGGCGUAAAGCGUGCGCAGGCGGUGAUGUAAGACCGAUGUGAAAUCCCCGGGCUUAACCUGGGAACUGCAUUGGUGACUGCAUCGCUCGAGUAUGGCAGAGGGGGGUAGAAUUCCACGUGUAGCAGUGAAAUGCGUAGAGAUGUGGAGGAAUACCGAUGGCGAAGGCAGCCCCCUGGGUCAAUACUGACGCUCAUGCACGAAAGCGUGGGGAGCAAACAGG
rnacentral:rRNA from 1 species